rnacentral:rRNA from 1 species
UACGUAGGGACCAGGCGUUGUUCGGAUUUACUGGGCGUAAAGGGCGCGUAGGCGGCAAUUCAAGUCAUCUGUGAAAUCUCCGGGCUUAACCCGGAACGGUCAGAUGAUACUGCUUUGCUAGAGUGCGGAAGGGGCAAUCGGAAUUCUUGGUGUAGCGGUGAAAUGCGUAGAUAUCAAGAGGAACACCUGAGGUGAAGACGGGUUGCUGGGCCGACACUGACGCUGAUAGCGCGAAAGCCAGGGGAGCAAACGGG